AUGGCAGCGGUUUGUCAGCCCAGACGAGCUUUGGUGGAGAUUCCCGAACCUCAGCCCAAAACUUCAGCUGGACUAAGAAGAUCUUACUUUGAAGUUCUGAACGCUCAGCUGGACUCACCCCCACUUUCACGAGCCAGAACCCCGAAACCUUCACAGUCACUGGACCCCUCCCCCGCGCCGCUCACCAAGCAGCAGCUGGUGCAGCUGAUCAGGUCGCUGGUGUUGGCCGAGCAGAGCCACGAGCCCAGGAUGGUAGCUUCCGGCAUGAAGCACCUUCAGGACGACCUUCAGCUGAAAAAGACCAACGUUUACCGUUCCAUCCCGUACUCGCGCUUCGGCUCGAACAGGGACGCUCACUGCUACCGUAAGGCGUAUCCUCACCUGCUGGCGUUCAAGGUCUCCUGUCAGGAGUGGGGCCAAGUCCUUCUAAGGAACCAGGAGUGGGACUCUCUGCUGGAGUUCUGCCUGAUGGCGUGGAGAUACACCAGCGAGUUGCCGCAGUGGGACACGGAGAGCCACAACGCCCUCAGAGAUCAGUGCUACGGCGCUCUGGCAGCUCACAAGCUCGCCGCGCUCCAGCACUACCACCCUUCCCCCAGCAGAGGGCGCGAGUUGCUCAGGAGUUAAGAUGGGGGCGGGGCUUUGAGUCAUGAUUGACAUCAGGUGUGACAGAGGUUAUGGUGAUGUCAUUUCUGCUCAUUUGGUAAUAGUUUAAGGUUUGUAGCUUAUUUUUAAUUUUAAGAUUAAUACAAAUUUUUUCAAAUUUCUUUAAAGUUAUGAAGACAUUUUCUUAUAAUAUAUUUGUCUUUUUUUAGAAAUCUCAAUAUUACCUUUAGGCUAAAAACGUUUUUUCUUUACGUUUACAAUUUUAUUUUCACAUUUUCAAUAAUGAUUUUAUGUUUAAAAUAUAUGUUAUCAUCAUUAAUAUUCUAUUUUCAAAUGACUUGUAUUUUUAAAGGUUUAAAAUAUUUGAUAUUGAUUUUGUCCUUAAGUAUUUUGUGUUUUAAAUAUAGUUAAUCAUGUAAAUACUUUCAAAUGUUAAGCAUUUCUUUCAAGUUUAAACCUUUUUUCUUCAAAUUUACAAUUUUCUUUUUCAAUUUCUCCAAAUGUCCCCUUAAGUUUAAAUUAUAUUUACAGUAAAAUGUUUUAGUUUUGAAUAUCUCAAAGUUUACAGUGUGUAAUUUAAAAGCCUCAUGAAGCAGCCUGACGUCCCGCGGAAUCAAACUCUUGGCGUUUCUCCGUCCCGACCCGUAGGUUCAGCGCGGCGCAGCUGCACAGCCGCACCAUCCUGCCCUGCAUUCAGGAAAUGCAAAGGAUUAUGGGACACACAGACGAUCUGUCCACGGCUACGAGCGGAUGCGGCGAGUGGAGCCGGAGUCUCUGUGAACCCGAUGCUUUUGACGCCACACUGAGAUGCAGCGACGUGACGAAGGGGGAAAGAAAUGGCUUUACUUCCUGUUGAAAAGCAGAGUUUGUAAUUAAAAUAUGUUUUCUUGUAGAUUUGUAAUGAAAUGUAAAAACUCUGAAAUGUAUUUCUUCCUAGUGUGUCUUCUGCCGUUGGUGUAGUUUUUUUUGGCUUUAUUGCACAGUUUGUCCUGAAAACUUGAAUUUCUUUUUCAUUAAAAAUGUAUUUAAAUGAUCUUCCUUUCGGUUUAUUUUAGGACAAAAUGACCGUGUGAGGGUUUUUAUUACGCUUUUUGCUCAGGAAAAGGAAAAGUUGUCUUUAAAUGAAGUCAAUGAGCCUUUUCUUUGUCCCAUUCAUUGUUUUUUGACAAAUAUGUUCAUUUGUUUUGUUCCUGUUUUUAGAGCGAGUCUGCUUUCAGGAAAUAGAAUAAUUAGUUUUUAAUUAAAAGUAUGAUAGGAAUAGACAUUUACGUUCCGUUUUUUUAUCAUAUUAGCUUCAAAUUUCUUUUAAUAAGUUAACUUUUUUAGGAUGUUCACUGUAAAUCUUUGAAGUUAUUGAUACUUUAACAUAUGUGUACCAUUUUCUGACACUAGGGGGAGCCCUCGCAGUGCAAACAAGCAGCCUUCAUCAGAGAAACAGCUGUUGCCAUGACACUCGAAGAUGAACUUUAAGCAGUUUUUCCUCUAUAUACUUUGGGUUAAAAAAACAAAGACAAAAAAAGGAUUUUAAUGAGUUUUCCUUUCGGGUUUCUUGAGUCCACUCUCUUUCAUAACAACACAAGCUAACCUAUUUGUGGAGGUCCAGAACAUCUCUGGUUUGUGAUUGUCCCUCCCAGAAUAAUCCACACUCAGCAUAAAAAAAAUCUCGGUUUUUGUGUCUCCUUUGCCUUUUUUCCUCAGGAGGGGGGAAAACCAUUCAUGGGGGGAGAAGCAGGACCACGCCAGACGUGUUUGUCUGAACCUGACCCAAAUAGAACAUGGAAAUUUAAUCUGAGCCCGCUUGUGUGGAGUUAGUGCUCAGCCGCAGAAAUUGGGGCUAUUAUAUCUCAUCUGUCGCCAUAAGCUUUCAGCAUUUUCUCCCCAAUACAGUCAGGAGAAAUGCAGGCAGAUGAGAAAUGUAUCGAUUGCCUCAUUUUGAUUGUAGAAAACCUCAUUACGACAUCAAUCAGGUACAAAUAAUUUAUGCUUAAAUCUUUAGUUUACUAUUUGAUUUGAUCUAAUUCAGAAAAGAUUUGAUCUUUCUCUCAAUUUAAGAAAAGAGGAUGUGUUUAACUGAAGAAAAGAGUCGUUUUAAUCCUCAAAUAUGACAAUAAAAUUAACCUCUGCAUUAGUUUGCGUUGAUUUUGUCAUAAGUUUUGGUGUAAAUGGAAUUUUAUGAGUUGAAAACUCAUCUGUUGGAUCACAUCUAAUGAUUUUCUG
ensembl:lncRNA